UACAGAGGGUGCGAGCGUUGUCCGGAAUCACUGGGCGUAAAGGGCGCGUAGGUGGCACGACAAGUCAGUGGUGAAAGCUCGACGCUCAACGUCGAGUCGGCCACUGAUACUGUUGAGCUCGAGCACUGUAGAGGCUAAUGGAAUUCCGGGUGUAGCGGUGGAAUGCGUAGAGAUCCGGAAGAACACCGGUGGCGAAGGCGGUUAGCUGGGCAGUUGCCGACACUGAGGCGCGACAGCGUGGGGAGCAAACAGG
rnacentral:rRNA from 1 species